UGAUGGCCCACAGCAAACUGGGCUUUCAUUUAUUAAUGAUUUUUUAAUCUAAAAUAAAUAAAGACUAAAUCUCUGUAUUAUUUUUAAAGUUUUCCCUUGUGAACCUUCUGAUAUAUCUUUCAAAUGAUGAUUUUAUCAACACUUUCCAGAUUUGACAACUCUAAAUCUCAUAGCAAAGCUCCUCGUAUGAAGCAAUUGUGAACACACUCCUCUCAUUCUCUCAACACAGGCUACUGUAGAAGUCCCAAGAGUUCUGAACUUGAACAGCAAUAAAAUUGCUUAGCACUAUAUGAUUGGAGUUUUUUCUGAUGAUGAAAUGCUUGAUUUGUUGGAUUUGGUGUCGUCAUCUAACACUUCAAAUAAGGGCUGUGAGUUAAUAAAAUUCAGGAUUGAUCCUAUGCAACUUGCAUCACAAAUGGCGAACCUCAUAAAUAUCAGGCAUUGCUAAUGGUGUAAAUGUGGACUAUUGAUAUUGAUAUUGAUACUGUAUACAAGACCUAUUAUAUUGAUAUUGUUCAAUUUUUUUUUAUUUAUUUUUUUUAA